AUCGAGCUGGGUAUGUUUGGAAACCUACAGAACAGUAGCCACAGAAAGACUAUGUGAGACAGAGUCCUAGCCUAUCUGUGCGGCCAGUCGAACCUCAUGUGUUUGCUGCUUUCAUUUCCCCUUGGCUCAGGAAACGAUGGUUUGGUUUUGCAAAGGAAGGCUGGGGACUUCUGCCAGCUUGCUAACAGCCUUGCCCCAUUCAGAUGCAUCGAACUCACAGAACAUCACUCCCCAGCUGCCGGCCCGCGGUUCGGAGAGUGCCUGAAUAGAAAACCACUCAUUUCCCUUCGCAAAAGAGGCGCCCAAAGCAGAUAUUUCAAUAUAUUCCAAUUUAGCCGAGGGAAGCCAGAACAUGGAUGUUGUUGCCAAGGAAACCACCUCGUCCUCCUGUGUGCUGUGCAUACGUGUAUCACUUCAUCUCUCUGCUCUCCAAGGCUGCUGAUCUUGAGCACCCAUGCUGAAGCAAUCCUCCAGCCUCAGCCUCUUGAGCAGGUAGGUGUGUGCCACCAUGCUAUUUUGCCAUUAUUUCUUAGGAAAAAAAUUAUUCUGUCUUAUUCCUCUCCUUCCUUCUGGCACUCCAGUUAUGCAUAUAUUAGAUCUCUGAUGUUAGACACUGUUCAUUUUUUUAUUCCCCCUUCCCAUCCCUCUUUUUUUUUGAUUAAAUGGCUUCUGUUGAUCAAAUUAAAGCUCACAGAUAGUUACUUGUCAUCUUCAUUCUGUGUUUUUUUUUUUGAGAUGGAGUGGCAUGAUCUCAGCUCCCUGCAACCUCUACCUCCUGGAGUCAAGUGACUCUCCUGCCUCAGCCUUCUGAGUAGCUGGGAGUAUAGGCAUGUGUGACCAUGCCUAGCUAGUUUUUUGUAUUUUUAGUAGAGACAGGGUUUCACUAUGUUGGCCAGGGUGGUCUCGAACUCUUGACCUCAGUGAUCUGCCUGCCUGGGCCUCCCAAACUGCUGGGAUUACAGAUGUGAGCCAGCACCCCCAGCCAUCUUUAUUCUGUUUUAAACCCAUACAGUAAUUGUUUAAAAUAGUCCAGGUAUUGUAAUUUUUAGUACUGGAAUUUCCACUUGAUUCUUUCUAUGUUUUUAUUUCUCUUUAGA
rnacentral:lncRNA from 1 species